rnacentral:rRNA from 1 species
UGCGCUCUGCGCGCACCGGCGGACGGCUCAGUAACACGUCGGUAACCUACCCUCGGGAGGGGAAUAACCCCGGGAAACUGGGGCUAAUUCCCCAUAGGCCAGAGGUACUGGAAGGUCCUCAGGCCGAAAGGGGCUUUGCCCGCCCGAGGAUGGGCCGGCGGCCGAUUAGGUAGUUGGUGGGGUAACGGCCCACCAAGCCGAAGAUCGGUACGGGCCAUGAGAGUGGGAGCCCGGAGAUGGACACUGAGACACGGGUCCAGGCCCUACGGGGCGCAGCAGGCGCGAAACCUCCGCAAUGCGGGAAACCGCGACGGGGGGACCCCCAGUGCCGUGGCAUCGCCACGGCUUUUCCGGAGUGUACAGAGCUCUGGGAAUAAGGGCUGGGCAAGGCCGGUGGCAGCCGCCGCGGUAAUACCGGCGGCCCGAGUGGUGGCCGCUAUUAUUGGGCCUAAAGC